GUCAUGAUCUCCCUGACCUGUCCCCUGUUGUAAUACCACUUUGUGACACUAGACGCUGUGUGAGUCAGUGGCGCGUCAAGUCUUCCCUCAGUCCCACGAAGAAGAACAACAACUUCCGGCAGCUCUUGAAGUUACCAUCACAGAAACACAGGAAUAGCUGAACCUCCUAAAAGGCGGUAUGUAUUUGUAUCCCACAGGACCGCUCCCGACAAGAAACCACGUUCAACGGCGAAGAAAAGAAGCAACAGGAAUAACUCUCAAUGUGGCUUUCCACCGCCGGAGACAGCUUCUGAGAGUAAAGAGAUGCGGUUUGAUGCCGAGCUCGCAACUUUCCUGUUAGCCCGAUCCAGUGUGGCAGAUACACUUCAUCUAACUUCCCAGCAUUGACUGUGAUGUUCAUUAACGGACCUGCAGGCUUGUAUUGCAUGCUCUUCAUCCUCUCCAUGUGUUCCUCCCAAGAGACAAACUGGUACUCGAGGCUGACCGUUUCCUUACAGACCCAGCGUAAGGCAGAGACACUGCAUUCAAAGCGUCCGGCCUCAGACUGCAGACUAAAUCAAACAAAACAAGUUCAAGUUUAGUCCAGUCGCUGGAUUCCUGCUGCAGAGGACGGUCAUACAAGUCAACUGUCAUCUAAAUGAGCACAUGAAUGAAUGAAUGAAUGAUGAAUAAACUGAACACAUGAAUGAAGCUGGUCUCUGACAACCUCUGAUCCAGAUCAGUCCUGUUCAUGUCCGUGAGCACCUCCCUGAUCACCUCCACAGACCGCUGGCCGUACCUCUCCACCAUCAGAUCC